GACGAACGCUGGCGGCGUGCUUAACACAUGCAAGUCGAACGGAAAGGCCCUGCUUUUGUGGGGUGCUCGAGUGGCGAACGGGUGAGUAACACGUGAGUAACCUGCCCUUGACUUUGGGAUAACUUCAGGAAACUGGGGCUAAUACCGGAUAGGAGCUCCUGCUGCAUGGUGGGGGUUGGAAAGUUUCGGCGGUUGGGGAUGGACUCGCGGCUUAUCAGCUUGUUGGUGGGGUAGUGGCUUACCAAGGCUUUGACGGGUAGCCGGCCUGAGAGGGUGACCGGCCACAUUGGGACUGAGAUGAGGCCCAGACCCCUCCGGGACGCAGCAGUGGGGAAUAUUGCACAAUGGGCGGAAGCCUGAUGCAGCAACGCCGCGUGCGGGAUGACGGCCUUCGGGUUGUAAACCGCUUUCGCCUGUGACGAAGCGUGAGUGACGGUAAUGGGUAAAGAAGCACCGGCUAACUACGUG
rnacentral:rRNA from 1 species